rnacentral:rRNA from 1 species
CUAACUAAAGCAUUUACUAGUCCAAGUAUAGGCGAUAGAAAAGACACCACCGGAGCGAUAGAGACUACGUACCGUAAGGGAAAGAUGAAAUAACAAUGAAACAAGACAAGCUAAAAACAGCAAAGAUCAACCCUUGUACCUUUUGCAUCAUGGUCUAGCAAGAAAAACCAAGCAAAAUGAAUUUAAGUUUGCCUCCCCGAAACCCAAGCGAGCUACUUGCGAGCAGCUAUUAUUGAGCGAACCCGUCUCUGUGGCAAAAGAGUGGGAUGACUUGCUAGUAGAGGUGAAAAGCCAAUCGAGCUGGGUGAUAGCUGGUUGCCUGUGAAACGAAUCUAAGUUCACUCUUAAUUCUUCUCCAAGGAACAUCCAAACCCUAAUGAAACGAAUUAAGGGCUAUUUAAAGGAGGUACAGCUCCUUUAAAAAAGAAUACAAUCUCUACGAGCGGAUAAAUAACCCYCCCCCCCAACUCCUGUGGGCCCUCAAGCAUCAACAAAGAGUGCGUUAAAGCUCUAUAUCCCAAAAAUAUAUAAACCACAUGAAUCCCUCCCCACUAACAGGCUAACCUAUAAAACAAUAGGAGAAUUAAUGCUAGAAUGAGUAACUAGGGUCCUCCCUCUUCGACGCAAGCUUACAUCAGUACAUUAUUAACAAACCCCCAUAUACGA